rnacentral:rRNA from 1 species
UACGUAGGGUGCGAGCGUUGUCCGGAAUUAUUGGGCGUAAAGCGCUCGUAGGCGGGACAGGAAGUUCGUGUUGAAAGACCUCGGCUCAACUGAGGGACCGGCUCGAAUACUCUUGUUCUUGAGGCAAUCAGAGGGUGAUGGAAUUCCUGGUGUAGCGGUGAAAUGCGCAGAUAUCAGGAGGAACACCAAUGGCGAAGGCAGCUCGCUGGGACGGUACUGACGCUGAGACGCGAAAGCGUGGGGAGCAAACAGG